UAUGUGAUCGUCUCUCGCAUAUCAAUAAGCGGAGGAAAAGAAACUAACAAGGAUUCCCCUAGUAACGGCGAGUGAAGCGGGAAGAGCUCAAAUUUGAAAUCUUAAAGGGUUUCCCUUUACGAAUUGUAGUUUAAAGAAGUGUUUUCUGUUGAGGUUUUGGUAAAAGUUCUUUGGAAUAGGACAUCAUAGAGGGUGAGAAUCCCGUAUUUGACCUUUACUUUCAACUUUGUGAUACACUUUCAAAGAGUCGGAUUGUUUGGGAAUGCAGUCCAAAAUGGGUGGUAAAUUUCAUCUAAAGCUAAAUAUUGGCGAGAGACCGAUAGCGAACAAGUACCGUGAGGGAAAGAUGAAAAGAACUUUGAAAGGAGAGUUAAACAGUACGUGAAAUUGUCAAAAGGGAAGCGUUUGACACCAGUGUUGUUUUUCUGAAAAUCAAUUAAAGAACUGUUUAUGCUAAGUUGUUUAGACUUUAUCAGCUAACUGUUUAGUUAUUUUGAGCUUUUCUUUAAUGCACUUUUCAGUUAACAAGUCAACAUCAAUUUCUUUUGCUGUAAAAAAGCUUGAGGAAGGUGGCUUGAGAUUCGUCUUAAGUGUUUAUAGCCUCUUGCCUAUGCAGUCGGAGAGAUUGAGGUCUGCAGCGUAGAUCCUUCGGGGCUAAAUGCAUUUGUGCUAAGUUAUAGCAUUUUAUAGACAACUUGUUGACUAUGAUUUGUCUUGUAGCUUACUCGCUUAUGUUAUUUUACCUACGCUUAGGAUGUUGAGUAGCGACAUACGCAC
rnacentral:rRNA from 1 species